rnacentral:rRNA from 1 species
AAUCAACGCUGGCGGCGUGCCUAACACAUGCAAGUCGAACGCGAAAGUCCCGCAAGGGAUUAGUAGAGUGGCAAACGGGUGAGUAACACGUGGGUGACCUGCCUUCGAGUGGGGGAUAACGUCCCGAAAGGGACGCUAAUACCGCAUAACAUCCUGCCUUUGAACAGGUGGAGAUCAAAGCUGGGGACCGUAAGGCCUGGCGCUGGAAGAGGGGCCCGCGUCUGAUUAGCAGUUGGUGAGGUAACGGCUCACCAAGGCAACGAUCAGUAUCCGGCCUGAGAGGGCGGACGGACACACUGGGACUGAGACACGGCCCAGACUCCUACGGGAGGCAGCAGUGGGAAUUGUUCGCAAUGGGCGCAAGCCUGACGACGCAACGCCGCGUGGAGGAUGAAGACCU